rnacentral:rRNA from 1 species
CCCUUAGAUGUUCUGGGCCGCACGCGCGCUACACUGAUGCAUUCAACGAGCCUAUCCUUGACCGACAGGUCCGGGUAAUCUUUGAAUCUGCAUCGUGACGGGGAUAGAUUAUUGCAAUUAUUAAUCUUCAACGAGGAAUGCCUAGUAGGCGCAAGUCAUCAGCUUGCGUCGAUUACGUCCCUGCCCUCUGUACACACCGCCCGUCGCUCCUACCGAUUGGGUGUGCUGGUGAAAUGUUCGGAUCGGCCGUUUGUCGCGGUUUCCGCGUCAUGUGGCUGAGAAGUUCAUUAAACCCUCCCACCUAGAGGAAGGAGAAGUCGUAACA